UAUGUUUUUUGACGUGGUGGAGCCCUUUUAGAUUUUAAUGGGCCUUGUAGAGGUUUUUAGCCUCUCAAAGGCUCAAGCUUUGUCUCAUUUGUCAUCAACACCAUAUUACGGAAACAAAUCAAGUAAAGUAUCGAGAAGAGGAGGAAGAUAAAACAGAGCAAGAUGAAGGAAGAAGAGGAGCACACAAAGGAUUUGUUAACCCGGUUCACGGCAUUAACGAGCCGCUACGUCCGGUUAGGAUCGAUAGAUCCACAACUUCACUAUGAAGAAGAAGGUAUUACAAACAAGAAGCAACAAGUGACCCGUCUAAUACCCUUCACUAGUACUUAGACUCACUCUGUACCACUUCCUGUAUAACUCAGAGAACAACAAUGACAAGCUUAUACUAAUACAUGUUUUCUCUCAUCUCUAUACCUUACUAACUCUUCUUCUUAGAUCUACAUUGUGCUAUUGCUCUCUCUCUCUACUCCCUUCUCCCUUAGCUUCUCUCAAUGAAGAUAAGCACCUAUAUAUAGAGACAGCUAACUAGGGCUUCCUUGUGCUAAAACAAACCGCAACCCUUUUGAGAACAAACUGACAAAACGGAGAGGCUCCCCUUUGUGGUCCCAAAAGUAUCCCAACCCAACUUUAACUUGACUAGAGUUAAGCCUUGAGUUGCUUUUGAUCUUCAUUUGCUUGAGAAACAAGUUCUCAUCUCCACAAAUCUCCACCUGAGAACAUGUUGAUCAAUCCACACAACCUUCACACACUUGAGAGAGGGAGAGAGUACCUUCUAAGCAGUUUAAACACCAUAAACCUGCUUGAUCCUUCCUGUAUUAAACUUAUAUUCAAUACACUUCAGCUGUGACUACUCACACUGCUGAACCUGAGCCAUCAAUACAUCUUUAGAUCACAAGUUGUGAAACCCAGCUCCAAUGCAGUCUUGCAUUAAGCUCAAUUCUUCCCUGAUCACCUCCUAUGAUGCAUUCGACACCUGAAUACUUGACAUCACCGCUCAGACAACUCCAUUAACAAGUCAAGAGAACACUUCCAGCUUGUUAAACACAACAUAAAAUUCCAUAAGCUUCACCGCUUAUUAGACGUCCAAUCACACAUUCUCCACCAUGGCUUCUGUUAAGGCCAUGAGCUUGUACCAGUGACUGAAGUACCAAAUAACCCUCUGCAAAACUUGAUUCCCUUGCUAGCUUCUAGGAUUUCCUCAUGCGCAUUGAGAUCAAAACCCUUUGAAUUCACUUGAAUCAAAUGCAGAAAACCAGAAUCAUUUUUAAGCUCAAACCUGAAGCUUCUUUGAUUCACCAUGUAAACCAUCUAAACAGCCUGUUUAGUACCACAACAGCUUUAGAUGACCUUUACAAACCUGUUUAACAAAACCAAUCCAGAACACAUCCUUUGUUCAACAGUUCUGUUUAAACAGAGCCUUUACCAGCAGAUUUGAACCACUACCAGCAAUCUUUAAACCUGUCUCACAUCAACAAGACCUUGUGAUAACCCUGAGACAAUCCUUACAGCACCUUCCACAUCCAUUCUAGAAAUCUGAUGCACUUUCUACUAUAGUACAGUCCUUGCAAAACCUGCGGACCUCCACCAAACGACUUGAACCUUGCACCAUCCGAUUUUCAGACUUAACCAGUCUUUUUCUUCUUUAUCAUCAUAUGAUACUAGAAGAUACUCCACUUGAAUGGUAUGCAAGUAUCUUUUUCUGAGAGGAUACUUACAUAUACUCCCUUUUGGUGCAGACAACCAAAACUAAAAAAAAACUCCUUAGUUGUUGUCUUCCAAAUGCAUUCUCUGCAUUUACAUCCUUCCUAGGAUUCCUUUUUCAGUUACCAAGACCAGCUUUGAGAUGGGUUGUUAUCAAACUUGAUACACAACACUUUCACAUUCCCGAAGUGAGCAACCUUGAGACAACUCCUGCAACACUCGUGCUUGUCUCCUCUCAGUUUCUCCUUUAGAGAACUCACUUAACCACUUCAAUGUCUUCAUCUCUAUUUACAUCUUAAGGUCUUCUGAAAAGCUUUCAGAAACCUGCAACUCCAUCAUAGAAACCUGCAGCUCUGCUUCUGAAUAUCAUCACCAACAAUCAGCUUCAAACCAAAAACUGUAGCCAGCCUUGUACCAUCAGGCUAUAACCUUCUUUCAGCUGAAAACCCGUUGAUAAUAAACUGUUCUUGACUUGUUUUCUUAUUAGCACACUGAACUUCCAUGAAUCUGAUAAACUAGUGAGUUACUCGGCCCUUUAACUCUUUUAUCUUCAGCUAACCUUCUGAGACACCAUCCACAAACAUAGCUCCACCAUGAAAAAAAAAUAUCCAUAAGGAUAUGCAUUGCUCCUUUUGUAGCAACAAUACUCCACCUGAAACUAUAACCCUUGGAUGCACUUUGUCUCUAUAAGCUGAGCUUCACCAAUCUGAAUUAAAGCUACUCUUCACUAUAUCUUGGAUUCAUUUCCACGUUCUUAUGAAUCACCAUGAUUACUUGCUUGAGAAAGUGUGUCAAAACAUGAGACACAUCUUCUUUCUUCCUUCAGCCACCUCAAAUGAUCCAUUUGCAAUCAGAAAACCACUAAGAACUUGUCUUUAAUUUCUGCAGCCUUGUCCUCUCUUUACUUGGAACAUUCUUCAUGAUCUAAUUGUGAAACAACUUAGGUUGAUACACCAUCAAACCAUACCUCACUCCCAUAAAUAAAAUCUUGUACUUUCCUGUAGCCAAUUCCACUAUAUACUUGUCUUGCACCGCUGUUCAAACGAACAGGACACGCCGCCUAACACCCUUUGGCUAGGAAGACUUUCGACACAAGAAAAUAGUACAGCCAAUUGCAUACCAUCAGAUGCUUCUUUUAACACUUGAAGAUCUGAUCCAAAAAACACAAAACACAAGAUACACUCUGAGAAAAUAUUGCUCCACCCGAGAUAAGAACUCCUUGUUCCUUAAGCAAAAUUACCAUGUGUUAUGCCAAACACAAAUUUGCACAGAACAUGAAUCUUUUAUGCUGCCAUUACCUUGUCAAGAGAAUUCGUUCUCAUGACCAAACAAGCACAAACUGUCCAGCUUACACCAAACAACAUGCUUACAAACCACGCUGCAUUCCCUUUGAAAAUAGCAGCCUUGUAGCUUCACGUUCUCUGAUGAUCCACAACCCGUAGAUUCUCUCAUUCACAAGAACUGACAACUACACACAGAGAUAAACCUGCAACCGAAACCCCUUUCAAAACUCAGCCAAUACCAAUGAAGUUUCCAUAACAUUUUUCUGUCUUGAAUAAGCAGAAAACAUGACUUGCUUGAUAACCAUUCUGCAACCUCCUUUAAUUUGAACCAAGAGUACCUUUACUGAUACACACACAGCCAUAAAACGCCCAUAAGCUUCAAGAUUCUAAGGCAUCCCCUACUUCCAUGAAUCUUAUGAGUUACCGGGCUGGAAACACGAUAGUUAGAACACCACCUGAAACCGACUUUACCAAAACUGAUUCAGCCAGAAGAUAACAUGAAAACCAUCAUUGAAUCUUGGCUUAACUCUUGUAAAACCAGUACAUAACACUUGUGUUCCAACAAACUUCCAUUUCCAAUAAAUAUGCAGAACUUGAGCAACCUGAAACUUCAAUACAGAGCAUCACAAAAUCCCUUGUGACUGCAGCGGAAUCAGACAUAAGGUUUCCCAAAACUUGAGUCUUGAAAUUGAUGUUCAAUUUCGACAUCAACUCUUAACCGGUUUCUUCAACAAUGAUCAAGAAUCACCAUCUUCGAUCAAAUGCUUCUUGCUUCCAUCUCUGAAUUUCUCUGAAGGACUCCGAGCUUCAUAACUUCGAUUAAGCUCCAGCCUUCACAUCUCUUUCAUAUAUUGAAGCUCCUCUUUCUGAUAUUAACACAGACAAGAACUGAUGCACCCCCGACCAAAAAACUCUACGAAAUUUGGUGAGGCCUUUGCCUUUGUUGAAUUCCUUCGAGUUUCAAUUUCAACACUUCAACGAAAGAGAAAACGUCAAAGAGAAACGUGCCUUGUUCCUCUUUUGACUUUUGGGCAUUAAGAGAUCUUAGCCCACUUAGAAUAUUCACUAAUGAUAGACAAGGCCCAUCUUGGUCCAACUUGAAGAAAACAAUUUGUCGUACCUUGACCUUUCUUUUCCUCACCCGUCGACCAUCGUAAGAUGAUUUUGCCGGCCACCAUCCAGAUGUUAUCCGGUGACUUAUAUGGCCACCACAUCUCCGUGAUUCUCUCUCACCGUGCGUCUCUUCCUCGACAGCAAAACCCAAGGCUUCUUCUUCUCCGACUCGUUCUGCUCGUGACGGCGCCGUCUUCUCUUUCACGACGUCGUCGGAAACUCGAGCCACUCCGCCGGAAUCUCAGCCUUCUCCGGUGAGAAUCUCUCUGAAUUCCUUGUCGCCGAUCUCUGAACACCACAAGAGCUCAUGACAAGCUUCCUCCGCGAAACCCAGAUUUCAAAAGAAAUCUUGCAUCUUCUUCUGUCUUCUACUCUCAAUGCUUCUAGCAAGUCUAGUUCUUCUUAGAUGGACAAGACACUCCGUCUUCUAUGAGAUAUAAUCUCCAAACCAUCUUUCUUCUCUAGAGCUGCACUUCCCGAAGCCAUUGCUUGAUAAAGGUGUGACCUUUUUUCGACAAAACUUGCAUCUUCUUUGUAAAGCUUGAAUCUUUCUCACGGAACCUGAAGAUUCAGAGCAAAGCUUGAGUCUUUCAGCACUAACCUGUGCUCUGAUACCACUUGUAGAGGUUUUUAGCCUCUCAAAGGCUCAAGCUUUGUCUCAUUUGUCAUCAACACCAUAUUACGGAAACAAAUCAAGUAAAGUAUCGAGAAGAGGAGGAAGAUAAAACAGAGCAAGAUGAAGGAAGAAGAGGAGCACACAAAGGAUUUGUUAACCCGGUUCACGGCAUUAACGAGCCGCUACGUCCGGUUAGGAUCGAUAGAUCCACAACUUCACUAUGAAGAAGAAGGUAUUACAAACAAGAAGCAACAAGUGACCCGUCUAAUACCCUUCACUAGUACUUAGACUCACUCUGUACCACUUCCUGUAUAACUCAGAGAACAACAAUGACAAGCUUAUACUAAUACAUGUUUUCUCUCAUCUCUAUACCUUACUAACUCUUCUUCUUAGAUCUACAUUGUGCUAUUGCUCUCUCUCUCUACUCCCUUCUCCCUUAGCUUCUCUCAAUGAAGAUAAGCACCUAUAUAUAGAGACAGCUAACUAGGGCUUCCUUGUGCUAAAACAAACCGCAACCCUUUUGAGAACAAACUGACAAAACGGAGAGGCUCCCCUUUGUGGUCCCAAAAGUAUCCCAACCCAACUUUAACUUGACUAGAGUUAAGCCUUGAGUUGCUUUUGAUCUUCAUUUGCUUGAGAAACAAGUUCUCAUCUCCACAGGCCUUUUGUUAAAAGCCCAAAGAGCCGAAUCGAUAUUCACACACACGCUUGAACUGAAUCAUCCGGGCGCUUGCCUGUCUGAAAUGUGAAGCCGGAAGGUAGGUGGUGUACCUCUCUCUCUCUCUCUCUCUCUCUCUCUCUCUCUCUCUCUCUCUCUCUCUCUUUGUUUCUCUGUAAUUGAGCAUGUUAGGGUUAUGUUUCUAGAAUUCGGGUAAUUGCUCCUUGGAUUUAUGAAUCAAUUUGAUAAUCAGAGGAACUGAAUCAGGAUCAGAAGCAAUCCAUCUUUGUUUCUCAUACAUUUUGAUCAAAGAAAUUUUACUUGUAGUUGUAAUUAAAUAAUUCACACAGUUUUUAUUCUCCAGUGAACUCCUUGUGAAUGAUUAUAUUUAGUUUAAUAAUGAGUUUAGGUUCUUGAUCAUGCACACUGCACAGAGUUGGUAAGACUCUAUUGAGUCUUUUUUGUUCCUCUGUUUCGUAAUUUGAAGAUUUGGUUUCUGUUACUUCCUUCUUCUUGGCUAAUUUGUGUUCUUGCCCUUCUCUUGGAGAUUAUCACUAGGUUAUGUCUGUAUUUCCACUGCUGUGUCUUUUUGUUUUAUAACAUUCACUUUUUGAGCAAUAAUAAACAAUGGAUGAGAAACUACGAGGAGAUUCUGGCCAAAAUUUUCUGGUUUAUCUCUUUUUCUUCUCAGGUGUUUCGGUUGAAAUAAAGAGAAUCUGUGAGGAGAUUACUUUUAAAUAUUUCUGUAUUUGCUUAGAAUUCUAAUUUUUUACAGGUAUAUAUCUGAUUGCUGUCUUCCAGAAGUGGAAUCAAACCGGAGACGUCUUAGCUGUAAGAAUAUUAAGAAGUGAAA
rnacentral:lncRNA from 1 species